ensembl:lncRNA
CGGGGCUCCCGGUGCUGCCUCACGGCCCCGCUGCGGCCGGGUCCCCGGUGCGGCCCCGGUGCGGCCGUGAGGGCGGCUGGGGGGGGCAAAGCCGGGGACCCCCCCCUCCCCGCUACCGGGGGGGAAGGCGGGGAGGGGGCACCGGGGGGGCCCUCACGGUGGGUCCGGUGUGGGCAGCCCGAGAGCGAGCGGCUCCGGUGAGCGGCGUGAGCUCCGGUCGCUGGGAGAGGGGCACGUGGGGUCACCGGGUGCUACGGGACCCCCGGGCUCAACCUCACCGGGCUCCGCGGGACCCCCCGGUGCUCACCGGGUGCUACGGGACCCGCCGCCGCCCCCAGCCCCCGCUCUGCUCCCCCCGACGGAACCGUGCCGACACCGGAGCCGUUUGGCCCCGGAGCCUUCGUAGGGGCCCGGAGGCCGCGGGGCUGUGGCGGGGUUUGGGGAGAAGCGGCCGGCCCUCGCCGCAGUGUGGGGCCGCUGGGACGGGCACCGGUGGCCCCUGGGGGGGGGACGGGGGCUGAGACACGAAGCAGGGGUGCAGGAGGCGGCAGCCGGUUACCGGCAAGGGCUGGCCCGGUACCGGUACCGGUCCCGGUUCCUGUCCCUGGCCUGCUCUGGCCUCGUGCACGGGACACGAAGCGGGGCCCCAAACGCCACCCAGUGCCACCCUCCGUCCCCACCCGCCUCCUUGGCCAGCACUGCCAACUGGUCCCAACUGGGAUGUCACCUCCGCCACUGCUAACUGGUCCCAACUGGGAUGUCACCUCCACCAUGGUCCCAAAGCUGCCAUCGCCCCCCGGCACCGGCACCGGCUGCUGUGCGAGGCUGGGCCAGGGGGCUCAGCGGGGCAGGACCCCCGGGGACAGGGGCAGGGGGGAGCAGGCGCCCGGGCAGAGCCCCCCGGUGCCCCGCAGGCGCCGGCUGACGUUAUCUGCCAGCGUUAUCUGCCAGCGUUAUCUGCCACCGCCUCCUCCCACGUGCCGCGAGCGGCGCUGCGCACGCUCGUCCCCCUCCUCUCCGAAGCCGCUUUUAACGGAGGGAGUUGAGAAAACUUCCCUCUUACGGCACAUCUCUCACCCAGGUGCUUAAUUACCGUUGUCCCAGGGAAACGUCAGCGUGACUCAGAGACGCUUUCCCAUUAGG